rnacentral:rRNA from 1 species
CCUACGGGAGGCUGCAGUGGGGAAUAUUGGACAAUGGGGGAAACCCUGAUCCAGCGACGCCGCGUGAGUGAAGAAGUAUUUCGGUACGUAAAGCUCUAUCAGCAGGGAAGAAAAUGACGGUACCUGACUAAGAAGCCCCGGCUAACUACGUGCCAGCAGCCGCGGUAAUACGUAGGGGGCAAGCGUUAUCCGGAUUUACUGGGUGGAAAGGGAGCGUAGACGGCAGCGCAAGUCUGGAGUGAAAUGCCGGGGCCCAACCCCGGAACUGCUCUGGAAACUGUGAAGCUGGAGUGCAGGAGAGGUAAGCGGAAGUCCUGGUGUAGCGGUGAAAUGCGUAGAUAGCAGGAGGAACACCGGCGGCGAAGGCGGCUUACUGGACUGUAACUGACGUUGAGGCUCGAAGGCGUGGGGAGCAAACAGGAUUAGAUACCCUUGUAGUC